ACUCCUACGGGAGGCAGCGGUGGGGAAUUUUCCGCAAUGGGCGAAAGCCUGACGGAGCAACGCCGCGUGAGGGAUGAAGGCCUCUGGGCUGUAAACCUCUUUUCUCAAGGAAGAAGAUCUGACGGUACUUGAGGAAUAAGCCACGGCUAAUUCCGUGCCAGCAGCCGCGGUAAUAC
rnacentral:rRNA from 1 species